rnacentral:lncRNA from 1 species
CGAAAGUAGAUAAGAGGCAUUCACAAUUGUUCACCCAGAAAAGUUCAAUUUGUUAUUGAUCUCCUUAAUAAGUUUACAAAGUUCGUCAGUUCUGUACAUUUUGGGGAAUUCAUUAAGUCAUAAAACUUCAAUGUGUUUGUUCUAUUUCUAUUGUAAAAUGAAAUACAUUGUUUUCUACAAUUAUCGAAAGCUGAACAAUUAAAAAUGUAAUGGUAUUCAUCACCAAUGGCAUCUGAAUUACACAAUACACAUUUUCUGUUUUCUCUUUCUAUGUUUUGCCAUCUUCCAGUUCCUAUUGGAGAUUUCAUGUUAAAAGUUCCAAAAUUAAAAAAUAAGGAUAUCUGCCGGUCAUCCAAAAUAGAUAUUUCUCAAACUCCAAAGUAAUCUUAAAUAAACGAUAAUUUAAUGCUUUUGGUGAUUCCUGUUGGCUUAAGAUGUGGAAUAAAAGUAUACUUUAAAAUAUAAUACUUGGACCAAUAAUCAAAAAUAAAAUAAUGGGUGAAAACUGUUAACUUUACUUCAUUAUUUAUUUUGUUUAAAAAAAAACCAGAAUUCAUACAGAUGCAAAAAUAACUUAUUACCUGUUCUAAUAAAAAAAAAACACUGGUCAAUUAACAGUUGAUUAAAAAUUGUUUGUACAGUAUAAUCCUUUGUUUGCACAAGUUUUCCUUCUAUUCCCACAUGAAAUUUUACCUUUUCUUACCAGAUUUAUAAAAAGUGGGAAUAGAGGGAAUGAACCG